rnacentral:sRNA from 1 species
UUUCUGUCGUGUGGAUGCAAAUAAAGCAUGAAAAUGAUGAUUUUUCUAAAUGUAUUGAAUUUUUUUUGUUAAACAAAUAUCUUAUCUUAUCAUUAUAUAGCAAAUGAAAUAUUUGUGAUGUAUUUACGUUUUUAACAGUAAUGGUAGGUUGUAAAGGGUAAAUUACUGAGCAGUCGUUUUGUUAAUUUAUUGAAAUCCAGGACCCAACAGUAUAUUAUAAUCUCUAUCACUAUAUUGUUAUUGUUGUGUUUCGUUAAUUAGGUCACCCCGGCUUCGCUCUAUCUCUAUAUAUCUGAUUUCUGCAGCCCUUAGACAGACUACAUGUUAUUUGUGCUGGUUAGUGAUUUUGUAAAUGCAAUGUAUUGAGCAGAGAGAAAUAAAUGCUGAUUGCUA